CUUCUGACGAGUCCCAAACAGGACGAAACAACUGUCCAUUGAG
rnacentral:hammerhead_ribozyme from 1 species